GACGAACGCUGGCGGCGUGCUUAACACAUGCAAGUCGAACGGAAAGGCCCUGCUUUUGCGGGGUGCUCGAGUGGCGAACGGGUGAGUAACACGUGAGUAACCUGCCCUUGACUUUGGGAUAACUUCAGGAAACUGGGGCUAAUACCGGAUAGGAGCUCCUGCUGCAUGGUGGGGGUUGGAAAGUUUCGGCGGCUGGGGAUGGACUCGCGGCUUAUCAGCUUGUUGGUGGGGUAGUGGCUUACCAAGGCUUUGACGGGUAGCCCGCCUGAGAGGGUGGCCGGCCACCUUGGGCCUGAGGUACGGCCCAGUCGCCAACGGGAGGCAACAGUGGGGAAUAUUGCACAAUGGGCGGAAGCCUGAUGCGGCGGCGCCGCGUGCGGGAUGACGGCCUUCGGGUUGUAAACCGCUUUCUCCUGUGACGAAGCGUGAGUGACGGUAAUGGGUAAAGAAGCACCGGCUAACUACGUG
rnacentral:rRNA from 1 species